rnacentral:sRNA from 1 species
UGAUAGCCCAGAUGGUAACGAAAACCCCGGAGUUAUUCCAGUUUGUUUUUCUUGGUAUAAAAGAGCGACUGAAAGAAGCUCCUUUUAUUCCUUAGAAAAACUGCUGGAAUAAUGAGGAGUUGUAGUGUACAGCUGGAUUAGCU